GUGAGGAAUAUUGGACAAUGGAGGCAACUCUGAUCCAGCCAUGCCGCGUGCAGGAAGACUGCCCUAUGGGUUGUAAACUGCUUUUAUAUAGGAAGAAACCUUCUCACGUGUGAGAAAUUGACGGUACUAUAAGAAUAAGGACCGGCUAACUCCGUGCCAGCAGCCGCGGUAAUACGGAGGGUCCGAGCGUUAUCCGGAAUCAUUGGGUUUAAAGGGUCCGUAGGCGGGAAUCUAAGUCAGUGGUGAAAUCUUGCAGCUCAACUGUAAAAUUGCCAUUGAUACUGGAUUUCUUGAAUUAGUGUGAAGUGGUUAGAAUGUGUAGUGUAGCGGUGAAAUGCAUAGAUAUUACACAGAAUACCAAUUGCGAAGGCAGAUCACUAACACUAUAUUGACGCUGAGGGACGAAAGCGUGGGGAGCGAACAGG
rnacentral:rRNA from 1 species